GGAUGGAAUCAAACCAAUCAUUGUGUCUGCUUCUAUUUCCUGAAAGAGCAGAGGUGUUUCUUCACCGGGGGGGGGGGGGGGUCACUAAUUACACAGCCUACUUCAGCCUCUUUGAACUUAAAUACACUCUGUUCAAGCAGGCUUAUUGAACUACUUUUCUUCUGCUGUCACUUUAAAAUGGCAGAAAAUAUAAACAUUUGUCACCAUGUGAGCGAUGUCAAUGCAUGUUGAGCUGAAUCAAUCUCUCUAAAUAACAAAGACUAGUAAGGGAUUACCACGCUGACUUAAGUGUGGACACUUAUUAGCUUUUGUAAAACAAGAGGCUUCCUUGAUAAACAAGAAGCUGUUUGCACAAUAUGCAAAGCUUUCUAUUCACCUGUUAAGACAGCACCGUAAGAGCACUGAACACCAGGCUUCUGUUCCUGUGGAGCCAGCUGCCUUGGAAAAGUCUCAGUUACAAAAAACAAACAUUCCCACAGAGGGUUAACUCUAUCACGACAUUCACUGCCAGGUGUAUCUGCAGAGAUUUAAGACCAAUAUGGUUGACAAAUCCUGGUUUCUGAGAAAUUAUUCAAACUAUAAGAAAAACUUUUUUUUUUUUUUUUCUCAAACUAGAGUUCUGAAUGAGGCACAUACUGGAACAAAACUGUAUUGUACUGCAUUACCUGGGACUUCUGCCGCAUCCGUGACGGCUCAGAUCUGGAACGAUGGUGAUUUUCGCUGUACGCCAAUGCCCACCGGAUCCGUUUGUAAGGCGAAUUUCACGGCACAUUAUGGACAGCAGGAAUUGCGAGAACUCACAAGAACCCGCGGAUUCACAUGCAAUCGCGCGAUAUCAAAUUGUCUUUACCCACAUAGGCUAACCAUACAAGAAGUAGAUUGUGUCCUUCCAGGGGAGGAAAUCUUCUAGACUUAUAAAAUCAGCAUCCUCUCAUCCAUGGUGUUAUUGAGGUGAAAUGCUGUCUAAAAACCUUUCACUUGUUCGUUCCCGCCCGUUUGCAUGAUGUAAAAUAUGAUCUGCCUAAAACAAGUGUCUUAUUUUGAAAAGAAGCCGGGUGUUUUAUUUUAUGUAUGUGCCCGACUUCCUAUCCAGCACAGGUUAAUCUGUGCUGAAUUUAUCCAGCAUGCUCCGGCGUCCAGAAAAAAAUAGAACUCUUGCAAUCAGCUAUGGAGUCUGGCGAUCUGCAGCAGAACAGAAAGAAGCCGGUGGAGAUUGACACAUUGACUUGAAUGGUUAUGAUCGGCAGAUACGGUCUGUACGUAGCCGUAAAGCCAUCCGUUUGUGGUGGAAAUUGCCAGUUAUGCUUGCACUGAAUGGGACAUAAAUGUCAAGAGUCCUGCCCAAGUAAAAGAUAACACUGAUAUGCACUUAUACAAUGUCAUCCUUGUAUUGUAUCUGUCCUUCAAAGAGAGUGUAGAUACAGGGGUCGCUGGUUCAACCCCUGCCAUGGCAGGAUACACUAAGGGCGAGGAGAUUAAAGGAGCCGUGCGUGCCAAUGUUUAAGUGCCCUUAGGCAAGGCCACCAACCCCCUGCUGCUGCUGCUAUGGAGCCAACACACAGAGCUAGCUUCCAGGUCUAGAUGUGUUUAGCAGGACAAUCUUAAAAAGCAGAAUUGUCUGACACAAGUAGGUGGUUGCAUAGAAAAAGGAGAAAAGAAAUAGAUUUAUAAAAGCAUUUUCCUUUUUUUCCGCCAGUGAAGCCAACAAAAUGAAUAACAGUCAUUGUUUUAUCCCACAGUGAGACAAAUGAGGUAUUCUGAUCUGAAGCAAGUAAGAGGAGCUGAGAGUGUCACUGUGGCUGCAAAAGCACUUAAAAAGAGGCAGAGCUCACUCCUCCCAGACUGCCUACCUGUCACCUGAAGCACCAUCAAACCCUGCUGUGACAAACUGACAUGAGAGGCAUCUGGAAGCUGUCUCCGAGCCAGACAGUCAUGUCAUCUUAUCCCACUCUGGCAUGGCAUUCAGGAAACCAGGGGAUUAAACCCAGCACUAACUUCACAAGCAGACAGCGCUCCAAAGACAGACUUUUGCAUGAUGAGACAAUCUUGUGACAACGGUUGUGUUUAUGUGAGAGUGGGGUGUGUGCAGGAUCAGGGACAUUGUUAGAUCCAAACCAUUACAAGUAUAGACUAGCAUGUAAUCAAUGAGCCUCAUCAUGGAGAUUGUAGACAGUUAACAGCCUGGGGGAUACAUAAAGAAUCACUACAUACUCAUACUUUUCUCUCUCACGGCUCGGCUACAGUCUCUACUAAGCAUAACUUAACAUGAGCAUAGAUAUAUGUGUUUAUUUUCAUAGAUCCAUGAUCAUUCAAUUACCAUGUGCUGGACUCUCACUUUGCUUCUCUUUCUCCUUUUCAAGUAGGUUUUGAUUAGCCUGGCUGGGCCAUCCAGUUGUGUGAAUCACUUGCCGUUCCUUCCCACAACAGUCUGGACUUUGGCCCACUGGGAGCCCUAAAAGUGGGCGGGAGUAUUUUCUUUGAUAGACAGACUACUGUUACCAAUCACCGUCACCAAACAUCUGACGUCAUCACAGUGCGCAACUGUGUUCCCUGCUGGGCUCUCAAGCAUCAAGUAAAGGUUUGGGAAUAUUUCAACAUGUGCGAGCAAACAAUGUCUUUUACGUCUUCUGCGGAUAUAAACGAUUUCUGCCGACUUUGCAAAGUCAACUGCAGAAUUAACGGCCUUCUGAAUGAACGGCGCUUUGAAAAGUCCCGCAGCAUGUGUUAGACGUUACCAUCUACACAUGGACCAAUCAGGGGCUGCCUUUCACUGUUGUCCAGGGAACAGUGGAAACACAGUCACUGAUUGGCCCGGUUAUUUUCUGAUUUGUAAUACACGCUUCCAAUUGGCCGAAGUCCAGACUGUUGUGGGAAGGAACGGCAAGUGAUUCACGCAACUGGAUGGCCCAGCCAGGCUAGGUUUUGAUGGUCUUUCUCACAUAGCUUUGCAGUUUUCAAAACAUAACCAACAAAACAUAAUUCGAGUUAUAUUUUGAAAAAUGCUGAAGUCAAAUUACAUUAUCUUUCUGUCUACCACGUCAGAAACUGUGUCAAAUUUUGAGAAACUAAGGUUACAAUAGUUUCUGAAUUUUGUUAGUUUUUAAUGUAUUUAAUUUUGGUUGUAUGUUUGUAUGUUUAGUUUUGAUUCGUUUAAAGGCUGGGUUUUUUUCAAUUUAGUUUAUUUUGAUCAUUUUUUGUGUUUUAAUGUUUCGUCUGUUAUUUUAGUAUUAAAAAAAAACAGAUGGAUUACCCCCAAUUUACACUGCAUCCGGAAUGACUACAAAAAAUCCAUAUCCGCCAAUCGUAACCAUCCAAGUCAAUGUGUCGAUUUCCACCGGCUUCUUUCCGUUCCACUGCAGGAUGCUUCUGAUCGCCGGACUCUGCAGCCUAUCGCAAGAGUUCUAUUUUUUCUGGACGCUGGAUCAUGCCGGAUAAAUUUAGCACAGAUUAACCUGUUCACUCUGAUGACACCAUGGAUGAGAGGAUGCUGAUUUUAUAAGUCUAGGAGUAGAUUUCCUCCUCUGGAAGGACAUAGUCUACUGCUUAUAUGGUUAGCCUAUGUGGCUAGAGACAACUUGUUAUUGCGCGAUUGCAUGUGAAUCCGUGAUUCCCGCUGACCGUAAUCCACCACGAAAUUCCCCUCACAAACAGAUCAGGUAGGAAUUGGCGGAUGGCGAAAAUAGCCACCGUUCCGGAUCAGAGCUGUUCUGGAUGUGGUGAAAAUUGGGGGUUAAUGCUUAACAGAGGGUUUUGUUGGUGGUUCAGAGGGGCAAACAGUUCGAGGAGGGGACAUCCUUGUCCUUCCUAAUUUCGAGAUUUUCUUCCUCUCCUCAAAAUAAUUUACAGAUUUGCAAGGAAAUAAAAUACAGGAAAUUAUGCAAGAUAGAUGAAACAUAUUUUCAAGUGUUUAAAAACAAUUAAAAUGUCAGUAACACAAUUACACUACUUAUAAUUUAUAACUGCCAGUCUAUUUUCUUCUCUGUCAUACUUACAUUACACUGUGUUCAGCACUCUGGUAGCAGCUCUAAAACCCAACAACAUAUUACAAUAUAAACUCAUAUUUACUUAUUAUCAAUAACCUCUGUUGAUGUUAAAAAUCUGCUUAAUCUGUGUCUGUCUUGUUAGUAGCUGUCUGAAUCCUCUUCUUUUAUUUCUGAUGGAGCCCUGUUCACCUUGUUGAGAUCCCAACCUGCCAUUCCCACCAGAUUCCUAUAUAUUUACCCUUUAUCCCAUUCUAGACAAUGGUGACCAACAAUUUUGUCUUAAAUUGGUGGACAUUUUAGCUCUGGAGGUGUAAGCCACUUCUCCCCCGAGUUUGCUACCAACUCCUUUUCUGAACUAGCACCCUCAAAUCCCCCCAGAAAAGAAAAAUCACCCCGCACUGUUUAAGGCUGCCAUUUCCCUCUUUGCACAAGCAUUCAUCCUGCUGCAUUACCACCUUUUCUUUUUGCCUUGUGACAAGAGGACAAAGCCCCUAUUCAAUUUAAUUUUCACACCUUUUUAUACUAAAUGGAAAGGCUAAUCAAGAGUCAAACAUUAACAUCUGUUAAACAAAACAUUAGGCCACAAUUAAAUUACAAAUGCUGCUUAUAAUGGCAUCACAGCAACCACAGUUUGCCCUCAACUUACUCUAAAAACCUCAGGUUACCUUUUUAGACUCAGGGAAAUCCAUCAUCUACCGGUGUGUUUCAGGAUAUCUAUUUAUCAGUGCUGAAAGAAGCUAUAAUACCAUAUUUCUAUACUGUUAUUAUUUCUCAGUCCAUUCCUCUGUGCCAUCUAAACCUCCUGGUCUUCCUCCUUGGUCUCUCUUUCUUGAGGACUGCUUAUAUUCUCAGUGACAUCCCUGCUGUGACUCAUAAGCAGACAUCCAAGAGUGCUUCAUCCUCAAGAACUAAAUUUUGUACACGGCACGGACAGCAGGACGCCCCCCUGAGGGACCAGGGACACCCCCUGGCGAUAUGUCCAACUCCUUGUCAUCUCCCAUCUGCACUUCCCUCUGCUGAACCC